AGCGAACGCUGGCGGCAGGCCUAACACAUGCAAGUCGAACGGACCCUUCGGGGUUAGUGGCGGACGGGUGAGUAACACGUGGGAACGUGCCCUUUGGUACGGAACAACUCAGGGAAACUUGAGCUAAUACCGGAUGAUGACGAAAGUCCAAAGAUUUAUCGCCCAAGGAUGAGCCCGCGUAGGAUUAGGUAGUUGGUGGGGUAAAGGCCUACCAAGCCGACGAUCCUUAGCUGGUCUGAGAGGACGACCAGCCACACUGGAACUGAGACACGGUCCAGACUCCUACGGGAGGCAGCAGUGGGGAAUUUUGGACAAUGGACGCAAGUCUGAUCCAGCCAUUCCGCGUGCAGGAUGAAGGCCCUCGGGUUGUAAACUGCUUUUGUACGGAACGAAAAGGCUCUGGUUAAUACCUGGGGCUCAUGACGGUACCGUAAGAAUAAGCACCGGCUAACUACGUG
rnacentral:rRNA from 1 species